UACGGAGGGGGCUAGCGUUGUUCGGAAUUACUGGGCGUAAAGCGCACGUAGGCGGCUUUGCAAGUUAGAGGUGAAAGCCCGGGGCUCAACUCCGGAAUUGCCUUUAAAACUGCAUCGCUAGAAUUGUGGAGAGGUAAGUGGAAUUCCGAGUGUAGAGGUGAAAUUCGCAGAUAUUCGGAAGAACACCAGUGGCGAAGGCGACUUACUGGACACAUAUUGACGCUGAGGUGCGAAAGCGUGGGGAGCAAACAGG
rnacentral:rRNA from 1 species